rnacentral:rRNA from 1 species
AUCUGCUCGAGGGUUAGUCCGGCCCCUAAGGCGAGGCUAGAAAAGCGUAGUCGAUGGGGAAACGGGUUAAUACUUCCCGUACCGCUGGUGUGGAUAUAGUGCGAAGGGGGACGGAGAAGGAUAGGCCAUCCGGGCGUUGGUUGUCCCGGUUCAAGCGUGUAGGUGGAGGACUUAGGCAAAUCCGGGUCCUUGUUAACACUGAGGCGUGACGACGAGGUCCUUAGGGCCACAAAGUGGUUGAUUCCAUGCUUCCAGGAAAAGCCUCGUGUACUUUCACAUUGGUGACCGUACCGUAAACCGACACAGGUGGACAGGUAGAAUAUACUAAGGCGCUUGAGAGAACUCUGGUUAAGGAACUCGGCAAAAUAGCACCGUAACUUCGGGAGAAGGUGUGCCCACAUGGUGAGAGAUUUUUCAAUCUUGAGCUUAGUUGGGUUGCAGUGAAAUGGGG